AGAAUAGCCGCCGGAUGAACGGAUGUCAUUGAUGUUGACAAACAUGAUUAAUUAUCGCUAUUUUU
rnacentral:tRNA from 1 species